UGGGGAAUUUUGGACAAUGGGCGAAAGCCUGAUCCAGCAAUGCCGCGUGUGUGAAGAAGGCCUUCGGGUUGUAAAGCACUUUUAGUAGGGAAGAAGCGAAAGUGACGGUACCUGCAGAAAAAAGCACCGGCUAACUACGUGCCAGCAGCCGCGGUAAUACGUAGGGUGCGAGCGUUGUCCGGAAUUAUUGGGCGUAAAGAGCUCGUAGGCGGUCUGUCGCGUCUGCUGUGAAAAACCCGAGGCUCAAACCUCGGGCCUGCAGUGGGUACGGGCAGACUAGAGUGCGGUAGGGGAGAAUGGAAUUCCUGGUGUAGCGGUGGAAUGCGCAGAUAUCGGGAGGAACACCGAUGGCGAAGGCAGUUCUCUGGGCCGUAAACUGACGCUGAGGAGCGAAAAGCGUGGGGAGCGAACAGGAUUAGAUACCCUGGUAGUCCACGCCGUAAA
rnacentral:rRNA from 1 species